ACCAACUCCUGGAGUUCACUCAGACUCACAUCCAUCAAGUCAGUGAUGCCAUAUUAGCUAUCGAAAAAAAUCCAUUAUUCUCUUCCAUCAUCAUAGAGUCAUAGUUAGGAAGCAAUUACCAAAAAGAAACUAUUAAUUUCUCAGCACCUUAUGAUAGUCCAGAAAGAUGGCUCUCCCUUUUUCGGUGGAAAAUUUAACAUAAUUUCCUGAUUUCAUCAUCUUUGAAAGUGCUUUACCAAGCACAGUUGCUCCUCUGUUGUCAAGACAGGCCCUGAGUUAUGGUCUGCACUAGUCUGCAUUAAUUAAAUUUAAGUAGGAUUUCUGAGCCUGGAUCAUCAUUAAGUCUGUGGCCCUGAUUUAAAUCUGCAGUAAAACAUUUCUCCAU
ensembl:lncRNA